rnacentral:rRNA from 1 species
AUGGGCAACGUCCUGCAGCAUCCACGCAUGUGCAGGGAAGCCAGGGUGGUGGACGCCACCGUUGCUGGAGCCAAGAUGAGGAAGAGGAAGGAGCGGCCAGCGGCGGCCAAGGACGUCGUCGAGGAGAAGGAGGUGGAGUGCCGCGUGGAGAACGACGGGGUGAGGUUGAAGGUGCUGAUGACGAGGAGGGAGGCGGCGGAGUUCAUGGCGAGGCUGGAAGAGCAGGCCGCAGCGGAGAGUAAAUCCAGGACGGGGGAGAUCCUCGCCGGCGGCGCGAUGAGCCCGUGCGAGGUUGCGUGGAGGCCUCGUCUCGCAACCAUACCGGAGACGUACUAG